rnacentral:misc_RNA from 1 species
CCGAGUUUACAACUCCCAAACCCCUGUGAACAUACCUUUAUGUUGCCUCGGCGGAUCAGCCCGCGCCCGUAAAACGGGACGGCCCGCCGCAGGAACCCUAAACUCUGUUUUAGUGGAACUCUGAGUAUAAAAAACAAAUAAAUCA